CUAUGUCCAAUUUCCAGAGUGGUUG
rnacentral:piRNA from 1 species